GACGAACGCUGGCGGCGUGCCUAAUACAUGCAAGUAGAACGCUGAAGAGAGGAGCUUGCUCUUCUUGGAUGAGUUGCGAACGGGUGAGUAACGCGUAGGUAACCUGCCUGGUAGCGGGGGAUAACUAUUGGAAACGAUAGCUAAUACCGCAUAAAAUGGAUUAUCGCAUGAUAAUCCAUUGAAAGGUGCAAAUGCAUCACUACCAGAUGGACCUGCGUUGUAUUAGCUAGUUGGUGGGGUAACGGCUCACCAAGGCGACGAUACAUAGCCGACCUGAGAGGGUGAUCGGCCACACUGGGACUGAGACACGGCCCAGACUCCUACGGGAGGCAGCAGUAGGGAAUCUUCGGCAAUGGACGGAAGUCUGACCGAGCAACGCCGCGUGAGUGAAGAAGGGUGUCGGAUCGGAAAGCUCUGUUGUAAGAGAAGAACGAGUGUGAGAGUGGAAAGUUCACACUGUGACGGUAUCUGACCAGAAAGGGACGGCUAACUACGUG
rnacentral:rRNA from 1 species